rnacentral:rRNA from 1 species
UACGUAGGGGGCUAGCGUUGUCCGGAUUUAUUGGGCGUAAAGAGCGUGUAGGCGGCCAGGUAGGUCUGGUGUGAAAACUCGAGGCUUAACCUCGAGAUGUCAUCGGAAACCAUCUGGCUAGAGUCCGGAAGAGGAGAGUGGAAUUCCUGGAUGUAGCGGUGAAUGACGCAGAUAUCAGGAAGAACACCAAUGGCGAAAGCAGCUCUCUGGGACGGUACUGACGCUGAGACGCGAAAGCGUGGGGAGCGAACAGG